UCAACACUGCGCAUGCUCAUACUGAUUGGCUAGAUAGAAGACAGCUGCUACACCUGUGAUCACCAGAUUCAUUUGCUGGGAGUUCUGGAAAUGCACGUUGUGGAGAGAAGUAACUUCUGUCAUGCCAAGGAGGACUACUCCCCUUCAGGAUGCCACUAAUCACAUCCUUGCAGGAAGAGACAAGAAUUCAGUGUUAGAAAUCAAAUAUAUUAAUCCAGUUAAAGUGCAGUGCAAAAAGGAAGAGAUGUGGCUUCCCAUCUGCUUCGAUCAACUUCAUUCUACAAUUUGGUGCCUUGUGCUCAUCGUUUACCAGUCAUCCAAAUGACCUAUCUUCAAGUGCUCCAUCAAUGCUGCAAAUGUACAAACAUCAUGCACUAAACAGACGUUUAUAGUGACACUUGUACCUUCAUUUUUAAGCAACUACAGUACACUAAUGUCAACAUCCAAUACAAGUAUAGUGUUCGAUGCACAGUUGAUGCAAGUUAAAGUGCAACAUGAGAUCUUUACUUCAGAAAUCCUGACUUCUCACUAUAGUAAUCUAAACAUAUUAGUCAUUCUAAACCUACCACCAUGUCUUCCGCUUCCAUGUGAAGUCAAACAUGAAGAUCGAACAUGCAUUGUGGUACAGUUUACGCCUAUGUUCAGCUUCAGCUGCAUCAAUGAGCUCCCAUCUAUACUCCACCACAAAGUCUCCUUGAUUGAAAACAGCUACAGUGAAGAUACCACGACCUGCAGACACAACCUUAUUAGAGUAACAGGGGUAGCAGACUAUCCAUUGGAUACAACUCAAAUUACGGCUGGAACUGAAAUCACUUAUGACUAUGGUGGGAAAGAAUGGCCCUGGCAUAAAGAGACACAACUCAGUGGUGGAAGCUUCCCUUCUGGCCAACACUCCGUUGCAGAGCUUAGUGACCACGCCCAUGACUUGGAACCCGAUGUUUUCUCUACAGACUUAUUCAGAGACACUGAAUUGAGAGCAGAGUGUCAGUCAUCCAGUCCCACACCAGACAGCCCUGCGCAUGCAUUUACAGUCUAUAAAUCUUUGUCGGUACAGAUAGUCAUCACUUCACACUUUGUUCCCCUGUCUACAUCGUUUUCAGUGUCAUAAACUUAAAGGUUUGAGUGAAAUGAACACUGUACCAGUUGAUGCCUGUUCAUCUUUGCAUAUUGCUGU